AUUGUUAAUAUAGGGGGAGGCUAGGGCUCCAUGUGGGAGUGGGACUUUUUCCAGGUCAUGGCCUUAUGGAAGGACAUUAAAGGUACGUUGCAACCCAUGACACGUAUGGCAGACUGAUCCUGAUCAUCCCUGUGGACAGGGAUUCUGAAAGAGACAUUUGUAAUGUCAGUUGCUUUGUACUUGCCUCAGCUUGGGCCACAGCCUUUAUGGCUGUCAUAAUUUCAGGUAACACUAGUAGUGCUCAAGCUGCGUGACUGCAUUGAGCCUCUAAUAAUCAAUUGAAUCUCCAUACACCUGAAGCCUAAUCCACAGGCCAGAUGGGGCUACUGAAUGGAGAAAUAGUCUCACAGAGAAUUUUUGCUUCAUUAAGCUCAGUAAUGAGGAAGCUGUCUCUUUUCAUCCUCUAGGGAGUUGCUUUGGUAGUCAAAGGGACUAGGUACAGAUAGACUGUUAGGUUCAGACUACCUAACAGACUACCAGAGCCACUGAAAUGGCCUCAGUUGUAGUAUUUAUGAUCAUGGCUUGGGGAUAAGGAUGGGGUGUUAAGGACGCACACUUAGACUAUAUAAAUAUACAUACAUAUAUAUAUAUAUAUUGUUUUCCCUCAUCUUGGUACAAAAGGACCAGGGAAUGAAAUUCUUCCUCACCUCCCCAUUGAACUGUGACCUUGGCAAACGUCCUCAUGUUCCCAGUGAGGACAUAGGGACCUUGGCCUAACUCAUAGUCUUGUUUAUUUUUAAAGUUAAGAGGUUUGGAUAAAAGUAGAGAGAUUUCAGGUCAAGAUUCACUGGGAGGGUUGGAAGGAAUAUUAUUUAUAUUAGUCAUAGGAGUUGUCAGUAUGUGGACUCUGUUGUGCCCCCAGUGGCCAUUAUCUAGUCACAAGUAUCUGAAGGAGAGUCUAUCAGUCUCCUCCUUGAGACCCAUUGUUGGGUAACAAGACCCAUAGAUGUCUUUGGGAAAGACCUUAACCCAAUGAUCCAGGAGUAAGUACCCAAUUACCAUUUUUACAUCACUCUGACUACUAGUGAAAAGUUAGUGUCUUGCCAGUAGCUGCUUUUUCUUUGCUUGGAAAGUUUUCAUUUCACACAUGGAUUGUGCCAUGAACCAAGUGACAUCACCUUGUAAGAAGGUUUAAUUGAGAUAGGUGACCAGUGAGAGUGGCAAGAAUGAACUUAAAUCUGAGUCUGGUAAACAAUCUCAUCAUUUACUUUUCUUACUUCUCAUUGUCAAAUCAAGAAACUAUCAGGUGGCUUGCAGAGCCCCUUAUAGGUGGCCGUAAGAGUAGACCAAAAAAGUUUUCCAGUGUCAGAGAGCUCACCAUGAUUGGACCAAACCAGUCCAAGAACAAAUAAUAGCUAGUAAAGGAAGGAGAAGGUCUCAGGUGUACAUGACAUUUCUCCCACCUACCUCCUUCUUCAUCCUCCUUGGGCAAAGUGGUCAUGGAAGAUGUUCUGAAAGAGGGGGUUCUGCAGUAACACACCAGAAAAGGUGCUUCUGUCCUUAAAUAAUUUUAACAAGAUUACUUUCUUUGUGGUGGAAUCAAACUAUCCAGAUCUCUUUGGUUUCUUUGGGUCACUGGGCAAAGCAAUCCUGAGGGCUCUACCUACUUUCUCAUUAAAUAUGAGAAACAUUUGUUGCAUCAAGGAUGUCAUCACUGCCCGGGACAUGUUUAGAUUUAACAGUAGUCCUUGUGUCCUAUUCUGCAUGCAACUUUAGGUGACCAACUACAUUGUUUUCUGGUUUAUCUUUCCUGUAUUUCCUUUUCUAAAGGUAAGUAUCUUAUAUUUUCUUUUCAUUUCCCAUUCUUUUCUUUCCUAAAAGAUAGCAUACUUGAUACCUUCUCUUUUCAUUUUUUCUACAAUUAACCUAUCACCUAACAGUCCCUCCAAGUUAGGUUAUAAGUAUCUUUUUAUAGCUUUAUGUGUAACUCUUUGUACCACAUCAUACACCAUAAUUUGUGUUACCCUAAUUUAUAGUAUGUACCUUGUUUUUCAACCAGUCUCACAUGCUAGUACAUUUAGGUGCUUUUGAGUAUUUUGCAAUUAAAAAUGUGUAAUGAAUAACCUUUACAUAUACAUUUUCAUUAUUUGGUCUGUGAGUAUAUAUUAACCUAAGUUAUAAUAAUCUAAAACAAGUAGGGACUAAUAUAAAAUAUAUUUGAUGCCAAAAAAUAUUUAUGAAACAGUGAGUCUUACACACAUUAAAAUUUUCCUCACAAUUUUUAUGUCAGGUCUAGCAUUAUGGUAAUUUACUUAUAUUUUAUGUUUAUAAAAAUGAAAGAAAAUACUGCUAAACAUGUGUAUAAAUUUGAUAUAUAGGGAUUUCACAAUAGACCUGUUUUUCAGUUUAAUGCACUAAAUGUAUCUCUUUAUGUAGCUCAUGAUCACGUGUCAGAUGAAAAUCUUAUGUUUAAGCAUCAUGACUCAGAAACAGAAAUGCAUGCAGAGAAACAAAAAUCUUCUGGAGAUGAAAGUCUCAUUAGUAAGUUUAAUAAUUAUAGAUGACUUUAAAUUAUUUUGUACUCAUCAGAAGAUCCUUUUUCUUUGGUUUGUGAAUAUGUAUUUGGGCAUAUUUUUUUUGAACUAGUUAAAAGAAUCCUUGUAUUUAUUUUUUACACAGCACAAAUGCAGGUGACACAGUAACUCCAUAAUUCCUCACAAAACUUAUUAACUUAUCAACUGAGAAUCUAUGUUCUUAAAAUCUGCAUCAUUCAUAGCUAUACACUCUAUGGAAUCCAUUCCAUAGUAGCAGAGGAGAACCUUAACUCAAAGCACCAAGUUUCCAGGCAUUACUGCAAAUGUCUUGUUUUCAUUCUCUGAUACAUGCAGUCAAACUGCCUAUGAAGCAAAUACCAAUUCACCUUAAACGCCAAUGGAUAAGGGAAAACAAUUGGGAAACCAACAUUAUUCUUACAUCUAAAACUGAUUCUACUUGUUUACCUUGUUAUAUUUCUUUCCAUGAACAUUUUAACUUUUAAUGUAGCUAUAAUUAAUAUGAAUAUAAAUUGAAACUUAAACAUAAUCUCUUUCAGAUUCAUCUAACAAUUUAGGGCGUUCAUAUCUGUUUCAUAAGUCCUAAGGAAAACAAAAUGUGACCUCUAAUCUAGAAUAUUCUUGUAAUCUUUAUUAAAAGUUAAAUUAGAAUUUUAUAGCAAAGUAAUAUGGUCUGUAUGUCCAAAUUAUGGAUUUAAAAAUUCCUUAAUUUAUUUAGAUUAAGAUACAAAGCUGAUUCCCAGUAUAUUUCAUAGAAGUGUGUUUUCAUUUUUUGAACAAGCAGGGUUCAGUGGACAUUUUAAGGAUCUUGCUCGCAUCAGCCCUGUAUAUACCCAGAGAUUACUGGAUCCACUAAAUGGACAAUGAAAAUUGGUCGAGGGCUUCCCUGGUGGCGCAGCGGUUGAGAGUCCGCCUGCCGAUGCAGGGGACACAUGUUCGUGCCCCGGUCCGGGAAGAUACCACGUGCCGCGGAGCGGCUAGGCCUGUGCGCCAUGGCCGCUGAGCCUGCGCGUCCGGAGCCUGUGCUCCGCAAUGGGAGAGGCCAUAGCAGUGAGAGGCCCGCGUACCGU
rnacentral:lncRNA from 1 species